rnacentral:rRNA from 1 species
UGAGUGCGAGCUGCUACGGCAGCGAAGUUGGUGAUGUCAUGCUUCCAAGAAAAGCCCUAUACCCGUUAAGGCAUCAUGGCCUGUACCCGAAACCGACACAGGUGGGGUGGUAGAGAAUACCGAGGGGCGCGAGGUAACUCUCUCUAAGGAACUCGGCAAAAUGGCCCCGUAACUUCGGGAGAAGGGGUGCCACCGCAAGGUGGUCGCAGUGAAGAGGCCCAGGCGACUGUUUACCAAAAACACAGGUCUCCGCUAAGUCGCAAGACGAUGUAUGGGGGCUGACGCCUGCCCAGUGCCGGAAGGUUAAGGAAGCUGGUCAGCGCAAGCGAAGCUAGCGACUGAAGCCCCGGUGAACGGCGGCCGUAACAAUAACGGUCCUAAGGUAGCGAAAUUCCUUGUCGGGUAAGUUCCGACCCGCACGAAAGGCGUAACGAUCUGGGCGCCGUCUCGGAGAGAGGCUCGGCGAAAUAGAAUUGUCUGUGAAGAUGCGGACUACGUGCACCCGGACAGAAAGACCCUAUGAAGCUUUACUGUAGCUUGGUAUUGUGCCCGGGCUCGCAAUGCGCAGGAUAGGUGGGAGGCUUUGAUCAUCGGCUUGCGGGUCGAUGUGAGCCAACGGUGAGAUACCACUCUUUGCGAGCUAGGGUUCUAACGGCCACCCGUCAUCCGGGGGCCGGACAGUACCUGGUGGGCAGUUUGACUGGGGCGGUCGCCUCCUAAAAGGUAACGGAGGCGCGCAAAGGUUUGCUCAGGCUGGUUGGAAAUCAGCCGACGAGUGUAAAAGCAGAAGCAAGCUUGACUGUGAGACCAACAAGUCGAACAGGGAGGAAACUCGGCUUUAGUGAUCCGACGGUUCUGAGUGGAAGGGCCGUCGCUCAACGGAUAAAAGUUACUCUAGGAUAACAGGCUGAUCUCCCCCAAGAGUUCACAUCGACGGGGAGGUUUGGCACCUCGAUGUCGGCUCAUCGCAACCUGGGGCUGAAGUCGGUCCCAAGGGUUGGGCUGUUCGCCCAUUAAAGCGGUACGCGAGCUGGGUUCAGAACGUCGUGAGACAGUUCGGUCCAUAUCCGGUGCACGCGCAGGAAUAUUGAGAGGAUUUCUCCCUAGUACGAGAGGACCGGGAGGAACGCACCUCUGGUGUACCAGUUAUCGUGCCAACGGUAAACGCUGGGUAGCCAUGUGCGGAGUGGAUAACCGCUGAAAGCAUCUAAGUGGGAAGCCCACCUCAAGAUGAGUAUUCCCAUGGCGUAAGCCAGUAAGGUCACGGGAAGAACACCCGUUGAUAGGCUCUAUGUGGAAGCGCAGUAAUGCGUGAAGCAGAGGAGUACUAAUAGACCGAGGGCUUGACC